CAAUACAGCAACACUAAUGACAUUCAGCUCUUGAUUGGUCUCCCAUUGGUCGCUAUGGGCCAAUAAUGUCAGUCACAUUUUCCCACGCUGGAAGAUGAUACAUUUUAUAAAGUUCAGUCUGGGUCACAAAGGGGGGGGAAAUCCCAGCUCAACAGGCGGGGUACACUUGAACAUAUAUUUAGUCAGAAUAAAGAGCAUUUUUUUUGUGUGUGUCUGGGAACAAUGUCUUUAUCUAAAGAACACAUACUAGCAGCGGCCGACUACGAGAAACCGAGCAGGCCAAAGUGCACCCGGUGCCGGCACCAUGGGAUCAUCGUCCCGAAGAAAGGCCACAUGAAGUACUGUCCUUUCCUCCAGUGUGACUGCUGGAAGUGCUACCUGAUCACACAGCGGACGCAGAUCUCCACCCUCCAGCGCAACCUGAAGAAAGCGCAAACUAACCCGCAAAAGAAGGAGCAGCGACCGAGCGCCCCCAAGUGUGUCAGCGCGGUGACACCACCACCACCAGCACCACCAGGCGGCGGCGGCGGUUGAGGGGACUUGUACCGCGUCGGACCCGGGUGGAGGCGCUCGUCCGUCGGGAAGGGCCACGGAGCAUGCCGCUGCCGCCGCCUGGAGCCCUCUCGACCUCCGGAGCAGACCUGCCGCCAGAGGAGACACUGUGGCCGGUGUGGACAGCGGGAAACUGCUGCCUUGCUCUUCCAGUGAGGAAGGGUCAUCAUAUGCCCCUCGCCUCAGUGAAUUUACCCACACUGCUCCUCCGCCCAUUAUUCACUUCCCAUUUACGAUGUCAGGCCGUUACCCCAGCUGCCGCGUGCCGUGUCCCAACCUCCUGCUCAACAUGCCCCUGUUGCCACCCGUACCUGCCGGCCUUUACAACGACGGCCUCUUUGGACCUUUAAUGUUCCCCCACUUUCACCUGGGUGCGUUGCAUUACCCUCCUCCACCAGAGGCUGCUGCUGAUCGGGGACCGGUCUUCUUCACCCUCCAACCACCCCCGCUCCCAGAGCCCCUGCAGGAGGAGCAGAUGCACCCACAGCCUCCUCUUUUCACUAAAGAUACUUAACUAAUUAUCUCCUUCAUUAAUGAUGCUGUUUGCAAUCUGUUGUUUUGUAUUUAGAUUGAUUUAUUAUUCUUUUUGCGCAAUCAGCUUUCAAUUAGCAAAAUAUUUUUGUUUAGUUCACAUUUUUUAUACCAUUGAUACCAGAAUGUACUGUUUGUUUAUAAAGAAAAAUAAA